rnacentral:sRNA from 1 species
GAAAGGGUUAUUUCGUAUGCUUAUAGUAGUUGAAAAUAAGGCAAGUAUUCAGAUAUAUUUAGAGUAUCUCCACCAGUAGUCUCUCAAUGAGAUACCUGACAAAAAAAUAUAACUAAAAAAUAAAAAGUAAGAGAGAAGGAAAAAAAAGUAAGAGAGAAUGAGAGUUGAGUUUCUCGUAGGAGAAACUUUGAGAAUCUAUUGUCAUCCAAUUUGGAAAGUUGUCAUCGUACUAUUAGUUCAACUAUUAAAUAACAAUUAUUAUAU